rnacentral:rRNA from 1 species
AUUGAACGCUGGCGGAAUGCUUUACACAUGCAAGUCGAACGGCAGCACGGACUUCGGUCUGGUGGCGAGUGGCGAACGGGUGAGUAACAUAUCGGAACGUAUCCAAUAAUGGGGGAUAACUAAUCGAAAGGUUGGCUAAUACCGCAUACGCCCUACGGGGGAAAGCUAGGGACCUUCGGGCCUGGCGUUAAUGGAGCGGCCGAUAUCUGAUUAGCUAGUUGGUGGGGUAAAGGCCCACCAAGGCGACGAUCAGUAGCUGGUCUGAGAGGACGACCAGCAACACUGGAACUGAGACACGGUCCAGACUCCUACGGGAGGCAGCAGUGGGGAAUUUUGGACAAUGGGCGCAAGCCUGAUCCAGCCAUUCCGCGUGAGUGAAGAAGGCCUUCGGGUUGUAAAGCUCUUUCGCAAGGGAAGAAAACUUAUCCUCUAACAUAGGAUGAGGUUGACGGUACCUUGAUAAGAAGCACCGGCUAACUACGUGCCAGCCGCCGCCGUAACAC